UACGGAGGAUGCGAGCGUUAUCCGGAUUUAUUGGGUUUAAAGGGUGCGUAGGCGGGCUUUUAAGUCAGCGGUAAAAAUUCGGGGCUCCACCCCGUCCGGCCGUUGAAACUGGGAGUCUUGAGUGGGCGAGAAGAAGGCGGAAUGCGUGGUGUAGCGGUGAAAUGCAUAGAUAUCACGCAGAACCCCGAUUGCGAAGGCAGCCUUCCGGCGCCCUACUGACGCUGAGGCACGAAAGUGCGGGGAUCGAACAGG
rnacentral:rRNA from 1 species